rnacentral:rRNA from 1 species
AGUGAACGCUGGCGGUAGGCCUAACACAUGCAAGUCGAACGGCAGCACAGUAAGAGCUUGCUCUUACGGGUGGCGAGUGGCGGACGGGUGAGGAAUACAUCGGAAUCUACUUUUUCGUGGGGGAUAACGUAGGGAAACUUACGCUAAUACCGCAUACGACCUACGGGUGAAAGCAGGGGAUCUUCGGACCUUGCGCGAUUGGAUGAGCCGAUGUCGGAUUAGCUAGUUGGCGGGGUAAAGGCCCACCAAGGCGACGAUCCGUAGCUGGUCUGAGAGGAUGAUCAGCCACACUGGAACUGAGACACGGUCCAGACUCCUACGGGAGGCAGCAGUGGGGAAUAUUGGACAAUGGGCGCAAGCCUGAUCCAGCCAUACCGCGUGGGUGAAGAAGGCCAUCGGGUUGUAAAGCCCUUUUGUUGGGAAAGAAAAGCAGCAGGUUAAUACCCCGCUGUUCUGACGGUACCCAAAGAAUAAGCACCGGCUAACUUCGUG